rnacentral:tRNA from 1 species
ACUUUUAUUUUUCGUAGGCUAAACUGAUGCUCGCUGGCUUGGGCAAAUAGCUGUUAACUAUUUUUUGUGGGAUCGAGGCCCACUGGUUUU